rnacentral:rRNA from 1 species
CCCUUAGAUGUUCUGGGCCGCACGCGUGCUACACUGAGUGGAUCAGCGGGUCAGGUUGCGCGAAAGUGUUUCCUAAUCUUUAAAUCCGCUCGUGAUGGGGAUUGACGGUUGCAAUUUUCCGUCAUGAACGAGGAAUACCUUGUAAGCGCGGGUCAUCAUCCCGCGCUGAAUACGUCCCUGCCCUUUGUACACACCGCCCGUCGCGCCUACCGAUUGAGUGGUCCGGUGAGGCUUUGGGAUCUGAGCGGAAAGAGCGUUUCGCUGUUUCUGCCCGGAAAACUCAGUCGAACCUUAUCAUUUAGAGGAAGGAGAAGUCGUAACA